CUUCCCUUUCGUAUAGGACCUUGUAGUCUAAUACCGCUAUAAACCCUGUUUGCGGGGAAUAUUGAUAAUGCAGCAGGGAGCAAGAGUAGAAGCGCAAGCCUGCGAAGGUCAGGAGGCAGGACUGUGGUUCAGGUGAGGAAUGUGGCAGGAAGGGCAGAAUUGGAGGAGCUGCUGCCUGAGGACGUCUGAGGUGGCUGAGGUUGGGUUUACGGUAAACGGUGUGUGGUGAAGACGCAAAGCUCCUCCCUGCAGCUGAAAACUGAAGGAAAUGAAAGGUGACACCAGGGGGCGCUAUCCAGGACACAACAGUCCAGCUGAGGCCUCAUUUCCUUCCCAUGAUCCUUUGCUUCAUCCUGCUGGAGAAAACACUGCAGUGGAGUCCUCACUCUCUGAGCCUGAGCAUCAUGAGCAGACUGACAUGGACCCAAGAAAACAUCCAAGAGAAGCUCUACAUCAGUAGAGAAGAGACUGAUGUGGGAGGAUUUUUAACAUAUGCCAAUGAGUGGACUCAACAGGAACUAUAAAUGCAAAGGAGAUCACUGAACACAACUGAAGCAUAAACCUGGUAUUGACACAUUUGUUAAUGAUUGUUCUUCGUGUCUUCUUCCUCCCAUCAUGUUUUUUUGUAAGAAUUGUUGGUAUUUUAAACUUUUAUUGAGACCAAACAAGAAAGAAGUGACAAGAAAGUGGAAAAAGAGAGUCGAGUAACAAAGAUCCUAAGUUUGACUUUAUAUAUGAACCCAUAUCUUUGACCUCAAGACCUAAAUAAUUACCUGCAAAAUAGAUGUGUAAUCUUUCAGAUUUUUUCCUUUGGAUUUUUUAUUUUUUUUUUUUUUGCAUUUUUUUAAAGUAUAUGUAAAUAUCAAUAAAAUUACAAAAAAAAUAAUUUUCAUGUUUAAUUAAAAAAAACAUGAAAAUCUAUGCUAAUUAUACACAUUUAACAUUAAAAAGUAAAACAGUGGCAAAAUUACAGAAUUUUCAUGAGGUGUUUGUGUUGUGUAAUUUAAAUUUUUUUUUUGACAUUUUCUUUAGAUUUUUUUUAAUGUCCCAGCUGCUAAAAUAUUAGUUUUGUUUUUUUUUAAAUUUUUUCAGCUGCUAUUGCAGAGUUAGUAUUGCUUUCAUUUCUAAUUAAAGUUGCUGUAUGUAUAUUUUUGACCCAACAGAUUUUGACAUAUUUCCAGAAGACCUAUAAGAAAUCUACAAAAGAACCAAAAUCCAUGAUUGUUUUUUGUGGCAAGGACACGUGUUUUGAUGAUUCCAUCAUAGAAAAUUAAGAGAGACAGGAGUUACUGGAACUCAGGACUGGCAAGAUAUACACUACCAGUCAAAAGUUUAGACACUCCUUCUCACUCAGUGGUUUUUAUUUAUUUAUUUUCUACAUUGUAGAUUGAUACUGAACACACUGAAACUAUAAAGGAAUACACAUGGACUUAUGUUGUAAACAAAAAAAAACUGUUAAUCUUCAGUAUUAAUGUACAAUGUAGAAAAUAACACAAAUAAAAACCACUGAAUGA